rnacentral:ncRNA from 2 species
UUCUUAUCACGAGAGGUGGAGGGAUAUGGCCCUUUGAAACCUCGGCAGCGGACUCAUUAUGAGAACUGUGCCAACUCCAGCAGGCGUGCAGCCUGAGAGAUGAGAA